UGUUCACGAGCACCAAAAAAAAAAACUGCAUGCUUUUUACUCACACGUGCUCGAAAGAACUGUAGAACGGUUGUUGGCCUAAUGACAGGUCACAACCUACUGGCAUCACAUGCUAUCCGGAUGGACAUAAGUAACGGCGAUACAUGCAGAAAGGGCAGAGAUUAAAAAGAACCUUAGUGAUGCGACAGAAGGGUUAGUGGAUGCAUCAAUGGUUCGCCAGAGGCUUACAGAAGCAUGAUUCAACGGCAGACCUUUUGCAAAAAAAAACCUUUUUUGAGCCAACGACUGCGGAAAUAGAGAUGGUAUCCAUCAUAUAUGGAGAAGGUUAGACGAACGGUUAAGCAGAGAAUGCCGGAAAAAGGGUUUCAUUUAAUUGAAGGAAGAGCCUACGGCGAGGUUUAUACCAAACUCCUGAAAUCCAAUUUGAUACCCUGUAACGGUUGCGGUUCUGCGCAAUGUCACAGGUCCAAUAUUGUUCGUGAUUUUAUGACUCAUAAAGUCAUUGCAAGCAAGGCUUAGGGCGGUGAUUAAGGCAAAAGGAGGCGCGACAAAGUAUAGAUUUAGAUAUAUUUUUCUCAAUUUUAUUUCUCGUGCUUCUAAUUGUGGCUUGUCUUGUCCAGUUUCGGGAUAUUUCAACGAAACUGAUAAGAAAUAAUUUAAAAUUUUUUAUGAAUA